rnacentral:rRNA from 1 species
GACAGAGGGGGCAAGCGUUGCUCGGAAUCACUGGGCGUAAAGGGCGCGUAGGCGGGAUGGCAAGUCGGUCGUGAAAUCCUUCGGCUCAACCGAAGAACGUCGGCCGAUACUGCCGUUCUUGAGGGAUGCAGAGGAGAUUGGAAUUCCCGGUGUAGCGGUGAAAUGUGUAGAGAUCGGGAGGAACACCGGUGGCGAAGGCGGCCACCUGGACGAACACUGACGCUGAGACGCGAAAGCGUGGGGAGCAAACAGG